CUUCACAGGUUAACCGUGGCCUGAGUGAGGAAGGCAAUGUCCUUGCUAGUCACUAUUUGUGGCGACAUCUCCAAAUUGCGUGAAACCCGUCAUACAGCUUCAAGUACCACUUCAAUUGAGAAAUCUUUUGAAGGAACAGAGGUAACUCCUCUUCCCAAAGGUAAAAAGCUUGAAGACACGGUGGCAAUGCGCAGCCAAGCUCCUAAGUAUUUUAAAUAUAAGGAGAAGGUUCAGAGAGCAGACGGAGAUGGGCGGUAAUUAUCGCCGCUUAAGGUGUGCUCCAGCCUCUUUCGAAAGAUUGAG
rnacentral:ncRNA from 1 species